UGACCGGAAGGGGUGGAACCGAGAUGCACCCCUUCACAGAUCUCAUUUAAGGGCUGGCAUGGAGGUGAGGGUAUCUCUCUAGAGAUGCCUGUAUACCUGAGGCCUUCUGAAGCAAAUGCCUACAAGUUAAGAGACACAAGCAAGCCUCAGGGAAUGGGAGACCACUACUCACGUUCUUCUUAUACAGAGAGAAUUCAAAACCUCCUCCACAGUAUUUCUGAAAUAACUGUUGGGCUACCUAUAUAAACCUGCUUUUAUAUAAGUAAAAAACUUUCCAGUUGCUCUUCCUUCGAGAUGUUUUUGCUAUUGGAACGGUGCAGUGAAUAAAUCAGCAUUCACUGGAACAGAGUAAGAGAGAGAUUCAGGGAUCAGAAGCACUCCUGUUGGUCAAGGAGUUCUGUGACUCUGGGCUGCUGACCUACUUCCCUUCAGCAAAAUAAGUACUAAAGGGGCUCCCCAGGAAGUCCGAGCGUGUCCAUUAGGCACCACAGAAUCUGACAAGAUCCUCAGAAGCGAAUUAGGUUAAUUCAGCUCUUCAGGAUGUCUUCUCUCCUGUGUGCACAGGGAGUAGAUGGUGACAAUUAAGCUGCAUUCACAGCAUGCUCUCUGCAAAUUCAGAGCUUGGUGGCAUGUGUUUGGCCUAUGCAAACUGCUGAACACACGGAAAAGAGUAUGAAGAAAGUACUAUAAAUCUGCAGCUCCCACCUGCAAGCUUUCCUCCUGCUGACAAGAAAGACCUGGUUUUGAACCAGUUACUUCUGUAGAAAGUCAUUCUGCAUUACACUAAGCCUGUAACAGAGAAUUUCUCCCCUAGAAAAGUCAGAUAAACUUAAGUACUGAAUGAUCUCAUAUUGCCUGUAGUUAGAUUUCUAAAAGAACAGAACCUCAGCUUAAGGGUUUGGAAAGUCUUUUACUGAAAGAAAGUGAUAGAAAAUGAAGAGGAAACGAAAGAUCUGAUUUAAGUAAGUCUGUACUCUUAGCCCUCCUGGCUAUCUUGAUGACAAAACCUUCCCCACAAGUAAUAUGCUUUACCAGCUGGCAAUGUUAUGAAAUAAAUGCCUUAGAAUAAGAGUCAGAAAUGGCAUCUGGAGGUUCAGAAGUGCAUCUGUUCUGUUCAUGGUACUUUCAGAUAAGUAAUUUUGUGUCACAAAUGAAGCUAUGUGGAAAAUAAAGUGUUGGUUUUAAAUCAGUUUAAUUCUUCUCAUACUAACUUCCAGCUGAGACGCACUCUUUUUCUUGUCCAUUGGUGAAUCUCUUCAGUAAAUAUCUUCUCAGUUCUACUUAAUAAGUCUUGAAAAUAAUUAAGCUGUUUUGUGCACCUGACCAGUUACCAAGUUUUCCUCAGCAGGCUGCGUAACAGGUGCCCAAAGCACAACAGAACAACAGCCAGUAGGCUGUAGAAGAGAUAUUAGGAAUCUAGGGUUUGCUAGCACUUGUAGCUUGUGGGGUGAUGCCCAACAUGUUCUGAAAGUGGUACAGGUAGCCAUGCUCUCUGAAAUGCAAAAACUUCUGCAGCAAAGCAUGGCAGCUGCUGACCAGUAGGCAUCUGAAGUUCCAGGGUGGGUGACACAGAGCACUAGCAAAGGAGUUGCCUGCAAAUGUCACCUUAGAGAAAGAAAAGGCAAAGGAACCAGCUGAAUCAUGUUAGUAGUGCUUUCUAGCAACAGUAGAACAAGUGGUAAAAUCAUCAAGAAAAAAACAUCAAGCAACUCUAUGCUGAGACUCCAUGCAUUGUAAAAUCAUUACUUGGCAUAGCAUAUGUAUACGUUCAAGUAAUAAGAAAUGAGAAUAUUCUAGAGAUAAAAUACAGGGAAUAAAAGUUGUAAUAGCAUAUAAUUCAGUAGUAGUAAAAGAGGAUAUUAAUUCUAACAUUUCUGCUUAAAGCCUAGCAAUCUAUGAAUUACCUGAAGCACACACUUAUUUUCAAGAUGUUUGGCUUUUGAAGGAUGUUCUGAAAUAUUGUAGGUUUUCUUUUCUAUAAU